rnacentral:lncRNA from 1 species
AAAUACUAUGUUAUUUAGCUCUUCUAUCAGCAGGUAAGCUAUAGGACCUAUUACUUGUAAUGUUACUCAAAGGAAAAUCUCAUCUCUUUCAAUUUUUUUUCAAAUUAAUUAGAAAAUUGCAUGCUUACUAUGAUGUAGGGAAGACAGAAUAGGGACAAAAUAAAUUUUAUAGUUUAUUCAGUUAAUUUGUGUGUGGUAAGGUGGAGUGGAGAAGGUGACAUUUGUAAUUGCAUAUCAUAUUUGCAAAUGCAAAUAUUUGCAAAAUGUCAAUAUAUAGAGUCAGCCCUCUGCAUCUGUGGAUACAACAAACUGUGGAUCAAAAAUAUUUCAAGGAACAAAAAAUAUCAACAUGGUAAUAAAAAUAAUGUAAAUAAAAAACAAUACAUUAUAACAAUUAUUUGUAUAGCAUUUACAUGGUAUUAGAGUUAUAAAUACUCUACAGAUGAUUUAAAGUAUACAGGAGAAUGUGCAUAGGUUAUAUGCAAAUACUGCCAUUUUAUUUGAGAGAUUUGAACAUCUGCAGAUUUUGGUAUCCUCAGAAGUCCUGAAACCAAUUCCCCGAGGAUACCCAUGAAGGACUGUACAUAUACACCCACACACAAUGACUUUUAUUCCCACACAGGUUUGUGGGGAAAAAAAGGAAGAGUGAACUUGGGUUACAUGAAUCCAAUUGGUUACACCUAAUUUUCUCCAUUUUCUCUUCUUCACUUCUAAUUGCUAAAUUAAAAACAAUUAAUAAUUUUCAUAAAAUGAGUAUUUUGUUUUCCACAGAUACUUCUUAAUGCUAUCAUUACAAAUACUCUACUGGAACAUAUAUACUCCCUCCUAAAUGUUCUAUAUUAUCAAAGGUAUACUUUCUUAAAGAAGUAGAUUUGAGAUGACAGAAUUUCAUGAAGAUUUGUAAAAUUAACUAUAACUUGUUAAAUAUGGAUGAAUAUUAACUUGUUAAUUUAAAUUGAGCAGAGAUAAAGGAAAGCAAGAUAUGUAAGCUGUUUAUUGCAUCAGUAAUUUUCAAAGAAAAUGAAUGUAAAGUAAACAGAGCAACAGAAGUGAGAGCAAAGAUUCUUUCCAGCUUUCCACAUCUUUGAAUUGAAACGAUAAGCCUCUGUCAAGUUUUAACUAGUCCUCCUUUACAUGUUCCUUUAUUUAUAGAAAUAUUUCAAGUAACAGCUUUUGUUCUCUCCAGUUAAAAACUUUGUGUGAUUUUCAUGCUGCUAAAAAGACACAUGCACAUGUAUGUUUAUUGUGGCACUAUUCACAAUAGCAAA